UACGUAGGGGGCAAGCGUUGUCCGGAUUUAUUGGGCGUAAAGAGCGUGUAGGCGGCUUGGCAAGUCCGCUGUGAAAACUCGAGGCUCAACCUCGAGACGUCGGUGGAAACUGCCUCGCUAGAGUCCGGAAGAGGAGAGUGGAAUUCCUGGUGUAGCGGUGAAAUGCGCAGAUAUCAGGAAGAACACCCGUGGCUAAGGCGGCUCUCUAGUACGGUACUGACGCUGAGACGUGAAAGCGUGGGGAGCGAACAGG
rnacentral:rRNA from 1 species